GGAGAGCUGGCUGAGUGGUCGAAAGCGCUCCCCUGCUAAGGGAGUAUACCCUGAAAAGGGUAUCGAGGGUUCGAAUCCCUCGCUCUCCG
rnacentral:tRNA from 1 species